AUGCUUGGUUUUGGCAGCACAUAUACUAAAAUUGGAACAAUACAGAGGAGAUUAGCAUGGCCCCUAUGCAAGGAUGACACGCAAAUUUGUGAAGCAUUCCACAUUUUU
rnacentral:snRNA from 1 species